rnacentral:tRNA from 1 species
GCCUUCGUGAUGUAGUGGUCACCACACUCGGCGCGUAUACGAGAGGUCCGUGGUUCGAAUCCUGGCGAGGGUA